GCCUCUGUGGGUCUGGGCGCCCGCCUGCCAAUUAUGGGUUGUAAAGACGUUAGUUUGUGCAAGCCAGGAGGAGACGUGGGUUCGACUCCCACCAGAGGCA